ACAAACGGAAAUGACGCAAGAUAAAUCCUUGAGGAAUGUGUUUGCAUUUAAAGGGCCAGCAUUUCGUCUGGUUUUUUAUUUCGAUUUUGCUGUUUGUUUGUUUUGUUUUACAAGAGAUGUAAAGGGGGAGAUUUCAAUCUUCGAGUGAAAACACACCCGGGGCACGUUCAACCUGAAGACGGUGUGCAGCGUUUUGCUAAAAUUGCAAUACCAGGAAGCCUUGUGGAGAUUUAACACUGAAACAACACACACAAAUAUGAUCAACUGACAAGUGUGUCUUCCUCACACAACAAGGCUGUAAUGGUGUGUUGAUGGCUUUCACACAUAUGGAUGCUGAAGUUAUGAAAGGCAAGCUCAGCUAUAUCCUUGUUGGCCAGAGCUGGUGUUCUACAAUCAAAGGAAGAGGCUACCCUAUGGAGGACAGCAACAGCAGAUGUGAUGUGGAAUGAGGAGGACUCCAUCUUGGAUUGAAGGCCAAUAAGGGUCGUCUGGCCUCCAGCCCAUAGUACAGAAUCGUCUGAAAUGUGUGAGGGAGCCACAGAAAAUACUGGAUGCAGACCAGAAGUACCUUGUGAAUUACCAUGAAUGUGUUAAUGUGGAUAGAUGUGCAAUGGAGACCAUAGCGUGAGGAGCUGGGUCCUUCUAGAGAAUUCUAGAGAAAGUGAUUACUUUACACUCUCUAAAAGCCCUUUUUUAUGUUAUAUUAAAUUAGAUUGUAUUACACUUCGUCAUGUUUUAUCAUAUGUCAUGUGUAAUUGUACAUGGAUUUAUAAUGCAAAUUUUUCUAUGUCUAAUGUCUAAUAAUUGCUAUUUAAAUGUAUUUCAUUAAUUUCUGAUAAAAGCAUUUGUGUAAUUCAUUUCUGUUUGUCAGGCAAUCAAUAUAACCUACCUAAGAACACAACACCAACAGCAAUAAUGAU
ensembl:lncRNA